UAUAAUUUUUUUUUUCAUAUUAAGUAUUAAAUCUUUUAAUCAAAUUUAAAUAUGGAUUAAUGAUACAAUUGUAAUAUUUAAGUUUAAUAUUUAAACACGUGAUACGUUGGCGAUGGGAUAGGAGAGAAUAUAAAAUAGAUAAAGAGAUAAUUAACAAGUAUCAACUACUAGCGUACCGUAAGAAGAGCGAUGUGUCGUAAAUAUUUGAAUAACCGCGGGCAUCGAACCCAUAUAUAUACUGGGGACCAUAAACCCAGAGACCAGAGACGCGAGACGAAGUGUUACUUAAACAAAGUGCCGAUUGUAUUAUUGACCCGUCGAAUUGGUACGUGGACUUUUGAUAUCGGAUCAAUCAGCGUCAUUCAUGUCUGGUGUCUGGAAAUGCAGUUUUUAUUCAUUUUUUUUCCACGGCAAAUAGUAGUGAUAUCGCGUCCGCAAGCUCACACACAUGCACACAAAUAUCCGCUAGAAACGAGAUAGCAGGUAUCAAUGGCGUUCAGUACAACAUGGCAUGGCAGCAAAAAUAUCAUAACUAUACAUGGUCCCAAGAACAAGACUUGAUCCAUCCCAUUG